rnacentral:rRNA from 1 species
GGGGGGGGGGGGGGGGGGGCCGGGGGGGGGGGGGGGGGGCGGGGGGGCGGGGGGCUGGCUUCUCUGAUGUUAGCGGCGGACGGGUGGGGCACACGUGGGUGACCUGCCUAGACGACUGGGGUGACUGCGGGAGACCGGGGCUAAUACCGGAUACUAUUUUGAACCGCCUGGUUCCACAGUGGAAGACGGUCUUGCUGUCACUUAUCGAUGGAUCCGCGCUGCAUUAGCUAGUUGGUAAGGUAACGGCUUACCAAGGCAACGAUGCAUAGCCGACCUGAGAGGGUGAUCGGCCACACUGGAACUGAGACACGGUCCAGACUCCUACGGGAGGCAGCAGUAGGGAAUCUUCCGCAAUGGGCGAAAGCCUGACGGAGCAACGCCGCGUGAGUGAUGAAGGUCUUCGGAUCGUAAAACUCUGUUAUUAGGGAAGAACAUAUGUGUAAGUAACUGUGCACAUCUUGACGGUACCUAAUCAGAAAGCCACGGCUAACUACGUG